rnacentral:lncRNA from 1 species
GGGCCACAGUUCAUGCAGCUCUUCUAAGCUUCCCAUGGGAGACUUGACAGUUUGGCAUGAGGGAUCUGGGGGCAGGACCCUGGACUUCUUCGUAGACAACCUAACCUCUUUGGUCCAGAACUAUCUCAAGGUUCUGCUACCAACAUGUUAGAAGCAAAAGGCCCAGGAAACAACCCAGUCACUUCAUGGGAAUUGGCAGCUUUAAAUGCCUCCAUGGUGGAUAUUCUCCAUCUUCAGCAAAUCUGAGGAAGGUUUGAAUCAUAUCCCUACACACUGAGAACAAGCAGUGAGUUAUCACACUCAAAGCAAGACCAAUCUGUAAUUUCGGCCUGAAGAAGAUUCUGCAAUUUUCCUAAGAAAAGAAGGCCUGCCAUCCCUCUUUGCGUGUAGACAAAUGGAGUACUCAAUCACCUAGCAGGUUGUCAACCAUCAGUCCUUUAGUAUGUGCCAAGUUGGUUCUCUGCUAGGCACUUGGAAUGUAAUGAGAAUAAUCUUGCUCUCACAGUCC